CGAUCAGGGCGGUCCCUUGGAUUCUGGGAAUGGCGAUCGGUCAGAGAUCUCCUGCUGCCCCUGGGGCCCGGGGGGCGGCUGCUGCUGGGUCUUGGUUCCAGCGACCCCCGUUUAAAUCUCAAGCGACCCUGCUGAGGUCAGGGGAGUCCGGGCCGGCCCUGGCGUGAAUCCGGAGCCAGCUCACUACUGCUGCUGGUGUUUUUCUCACGGCGUGGACUCAAACCGGUUUGGCCGUCGAUUCAGGACGACCAGGGUCUAGCCAGGAGGCGCUGGGCAGGCACAGGUGAGCCCGCGAUGUGCAACCAGUGCAAGUGCUUCUGCCUCCUCGUGCAAUGGAUGUGGCACGUCAUCAAGCGGCUGUGCAGGAGGAAGAAAGAAUCUCGCAGGAGUGCCGACGAGACGACAUCCUUAUUGGGCGACAGGCGUAACGCGGGGUCCUGAGGGGAGCCCGUCCCCGAGCUCUGCCGUCUGCCGGAGCCCCCCGUCCCCUCCCGUGAAGCCGGCUUUGGCCUGGCCGCGCCCGCUUGAUGUGGGGCUUGGAUUCAUGGUUAGACCCGCCUGUGGAAGGAAAGAAUGAGCCUGUGGGGGCCGUGCCCUCUUGUGACCCCUUCUUUGCUACCCACAUGCAUUUUUCUCUUGCUUUUAAUUAUUAACAAAUCGUAGUGGGCUGGGUGGUAGUUUUAGGCUAGAAAUCAGGUCUGGCUGGCUGGCCCUCUGGUCAGUGGGGGCUCACGGACGAAGAGACCACCCCAGCCUGCCAAGGAGCCAGAGGCGUUAGUUUAUUCAUUACUGGCAUUUCAACUCAAAUGUUUGGAUACCAGUUGGGAGAAAUCCAGUCUGGGUUAAAACUCAAAAGCCUCUGACGCCUCCCAGCACGUUCCCGAUCGUUUUCUGCCGAUGAAAAGCGGCGUACAGGAGCUCGGGGCUGAUUAUCACAAAAAGGAAGAGGAGACCGAAAAGAACAACUUAGUUCAGCUGCUCGAUAAUACGUACAUUGAAAACAAUCAAAAUCGUUCAUCAUACUCAGCCACUCGGAGACGAUUGUGGAGGCAGACGCUCAGGGUGAGACGUGAAACGGUCCCAGUUUCGGCUGGGAGGGUGAGAUAUUAUGCCAUGACGUUGUUCCCUUUUUAAAGGUAAAAAGACCAUUAGCAUCGAAUCCUCCCUAUUCUACCCAAAUCUUCAGCUAACUGUUAGGAGAAACAUGCCCCUUGCCAAAUUUUCUGUCUCCUCCCAGGAAAAAUAACGGGGUGAAAGAAUAGUGCCGCUAUUUUGGGGGUUCAAUAAAAACCCAAUAAUAAGAAAAGUUGUAAAAAAACAAUCAUACUUCUUAUACUCAAAUGCUCAAGUAACAGUUACAGAAAACAUGGCGUUAAAAAUCCCCAAGCCGAUGAAGUGGGUUUCAGCCCAUGAAAGCUUAUGCCCAAAUAAAUGUGUUCGUCUCUAA